CGCCCCUACUGGGAAGUGAGGAGCCCCUCUGCCCGGCCAGCCGCCCCGUCCGGGAGGUGAGGGGUGCUUCUGCCCGGCCGCCCCUACUGGGAAGUGAGGAGCCCCUCUGCCCGGCCACGACCCCGUCUGGGAGGUGUGCCCAGCGGCUCAUUGGGGAUGGGCCAUGAUGACAAUGGCGGUUUUGUGGAAUAGAAAGGCGGGAAGGGUGGGGAAAAAAUUGAGAAAUCGGAUGGUUGCCGGGUCUGUGUGGAUAGAAGUAGACAUGGGAGACUUUUCAUUUUGUUCUGUACUAAGAAAAAUUCUUCUGCCUUGGGAUCCUGUUGAUCUGUCACCUUAUCCCCAACCCCGUGCUCUCUGAAACAUGUGCUGUGUCCACUCAGGGUUAAAUGGAUUAAGGGCGGUGCAAGAUGUGCUUUGUUAAACAGAUGCUUGAAGGCAGCAUGCUCGUUAAGAGUCAUCACCACUCCCUAAUCUCAAGUACCCAGGGACACAAACACUGCGGAAGGCCGCAGGGACCUCUGCCUAGGAAAACCAGAGACCUUUGUUCACUUGUUUAUCUGCUGACCUUCCCUCCACUAUUGUCCUGUGACCCUGCCAAAUCCCCCUCUGCGAGAAACACCCAAGAAUGAUCAAUAAAAAAAAAAAAAAUAAAAAAAAAAAGAACGAAACUCCAUCUCAAAAAAAAAAAAAAAAAAAAAAU
rnacentral:lncRNA from 1 species